rnacentral:rRNA from 1 species
GACGAACGCUGGCGGCGUGCUUAACACAUGCAAGUCGAACGGUGAAGCGAGUGCUUGCACUCGUGGAUCAGUGGCGCACGGGUGAGUAACAUGUGAGUAACCUGCCCAUCACUCUGGGAUAAGCACUGGAAACGGUGUCUAAUACUGGAUACGACCAACCCUUGCAUGGGGUGUUGGUGGAAAGAUUUAUCGGUGAUGGAUGGACUCGCGGCCUAUCAGCUUGUUGGCGGGGUAAUGGCCCACCAAGGCGACGACGGGUAGCCGGCCUGAGAGGGUGACCGGCCACACUGGGACUGAGGCAGGGCGCAGACUGCUACGGGAGGCAGCAGUGGGGAAUAUUGCACAAUGGGCGAAAGCCUGAUGCAGCGACGCCGCGUGAGGGAUGACGGCCUUCGGGUUGUAAACCUCUUUCAGCAGGGAAGAAGCGAAAGUGACGGUACCUGCAGAAGAAGCACCGGCUAACUACGUG